rnacentral:rRNA from 1 species
AGAUUGAACGCUGGCGGCAUGCUUUACACAUGCAAGUCGAACGGCAGCACGGGAGCAAUCCUGGUGGCGAGUGGCGAACGGGUGAGCAAUACAUCGGAACGUGCCCAAUCGUGGGGGAUAACGCAGCGAAAGCCGUGCUAAUACCGCAUAAGAUCUACGGAUGAAAGCAGGGGAUCGCAAGACCUUGCGCGAAUGGAGCGGCCGAUGGCAGAUUAGGUAGUUGGUGAGGUAAAGGCUCACCAAGCCUUCGAUCUGUAGCUGGUCUGAGAGGACGACCAGCCACACUGGGACUGAGACACGGCCCAGACUCCUACGGGAGCAGCAGGUAGGAAUAUUGGAACAAGUGGACGAAAGCCUGAUCCAGCAACGCCGCGUGAGUGAUGAAGGCCUUAGGUUGUAAAGUCUCUUUACCCGAGAUAGAUAAUGACAGUAGUAGGAAGAA